CGACCGGAACGCCGAGCCCUGCAGCCGGUCGAGGACCUUAACCGCACGCAGGGGCGGGGGACCCAAUUUCGGGCGCUGUUGCACACAGCGUCCUUGGGGUGAAGCCGCACGGACCGUGGUCCGUGAGGCCGGGUGUUUCUCCCACCCGAACCCGACAGCUGACCUCGUAGGCGACAGGAGAGGGAAC
rnacentral:sRNA from 2 species